AGGAGAGUUUGAUCCUGGCUCAGGAUGAACGCUAGCUACAGGCUUAACACAUGCAAGUCGAGGGGCAGCAGGACGAUAGCUUGCUAUUGUUGCUGGCGACCGGCGCACGGGUGAGUAACGCGUAUCCAACCUUCCCCUUAGUAGGGCAUAGCCCGGUGAAAAUCGGAUUAAUACCCUAUGUUGUGUCAUGAGGACAUCUGAAUAACACUAAAGGUUUACCGCUAAGGGAUGGGGAUGCGUCCGAUUAGGUAGUCGGCGGGGUAACGGCCCACCGAGCCCUCGAUCGGUAGGGGUUCUGAGAGGAAGGUCCCCCACACUGGUACUGAGACACGGACCAGACUCCUACGGGAGGCAGCAGUGAGGAAUAUUGGUCAAUGGGCGUAAGCCUGAACCAGCCAAGUAGCGUGCAGGAUGACGGCCCUAUGGGUUGUAAACUGCUUUUAUACGGGGAUAAAGUGAGGGACGUGUCCCUUAUUGUAGGUACCGUAUGAAUAAGGACCGGCUAAUUCCGUGCCAGCAGCCGCGGUAAUACGGAAGGUCCGGGCGUUAUCCGGAUUUAUUGGGUUUAAAGGGAGCGCAGGCCGGAGGUCAAGCGUGACGUGAAAUGUAGCCGCUCAACGGCUGAGUUGCGUCGCGAACUGGCUUUCUUGAGUGAGUACGACGUCAGCGGAAUUCGUGGUGUAGCGGUGAAAUGCUUAGAUAUCACGAAGAACCCCGAUUGCGAAGGCAGCUGACGAGUCCUUUACUGACGCUAAAGCUCGAAGGUGCGGGUAUCGAACAGGAUUAGAUACCCUGGUAGUCCCCU
rnacentral:rRNA from 1 species